AGCAAGCAGCUGCGGAGAAGAGAUGGAGACGACCCCAGAGACGGCCACCGGGACAGAAAGGCUGCCUCGGAAAUUGGACUUCCAGCUGAUGGAGGGUCCUCUGGAGAAAAAGCACACCCUGCAGCCCGGGGGCAAAAAGGCCACCAGCCGUACCUGGAGCUGGUAUCACGCGGUGCUGGUGAGACGGACCCUCUGCUUCU